AAUUGAAAGACAAAGAAAUUGAAAACAUUAAGGUUCAAAAUGAUGGUGGGAGUAGCAGCUUUACCAAUGUACAUGAAUCAGUGAACAUCAGUGACAAUGAGGCAACAAAGAGACAACUCGAAGAAGAAACAUCAACUGACCCAAAACUCAUGAAUAAAAGAGGGAAGAGAGUUAGUUGUGAUCAAGAAGGAGAAGCCCUAAAGUAGCAUUUAGUUUUAUGAUGUUUUAGUAAUUAGUACUUUAGGAUUUGCACUUUCAAAUUUUGUACUUUAGAAUUGUAAUUUUAAAUUUCGUUUUUAGGAUUUCAGUUUCAAAUUUAGUUGUUUAGGAUUUCAACUUUCAAAUGUCAACUUAUUAAUGUUAGUAUUUCAUAUUUCAGAAUCA